rnacentral:rRNA from 1 species
GGUGACCAGCGGAGGGAUCAUUACCGAGUUUACAACUCCCAAACCCCUGUGAACAUACCACUUGUUGCCUCGGCGGAUCAGCCCGCUCCCGGUAAAACGGGACGGCCCGCCAGAGGACCCCUAAACUCUGUUUCUAUAUGUAACUUCUGAGUAAAACCAUAAAUAAAUCAAAACUUUCAACAACGGAUCUCUUGGUUCUGGCAUCGAUGAAGAACGCAGCAAAAUGCGAUAAGUAAUGUGAAUUGCAGAAUUCAGUGAAUCAUCGAAUCUUUGAACGCACAUUGCGCCCGCCAGUAUUCUGGCGGGCAUGCCUGUUCGAGCGUCAUUUCAACCCUCAAGCACAGCUUGGUGUUGGGACUCGCGUUAAUUCGCGUUCCUCAAAUUGAUUGGCGGUCACGUCGAGCUUCCAUAGCGUAGUAGUAAAACCCUCGUUACUGGUAAUCGUCGCGGCCACGCCGUUAAACCCCAACUUCUGAAUGUUGACCUCGGAUCAGGUAGGAAUACCCGCUGAACUUAAGCAUA